UACGUAGGGGGCGAGCGUUGUCCGGAGUUACUGGGCGUAAAGCGCUUGUAGGCGGUCCACCAAGUUUGGGGUGACAGUUGCCGACUUAAUCGGCAAAGUGCUUCAAAGACUGGCGGACUUGAGGGCCACAGAGGGACAUGGAACUCCAGGUGUAGUGGUGAAAUGCGUAGAUAUCUGGAAGAACACCAAAGGCGAAGGCAGUGUCCUGGGUGGUCGCUGACGCUGAGAGGCGAAAGCCAGGGGAGCGAACGGG
rnacentral:rRNA from 1 species